UACGAAGGGGGCUAGCGUUGCUCGGACUCACUGGGCGUAAGGGGCGCGUAGGCGGCCUGAUAAGUCGGGGGUGAAAGCCUGUGGCUCAACCACAGAAUUGCCUUCGAUACUGUUAGGCUUGAGACCGGAAGAGGUGAGUGGAACUGCGAGUGUAGAGGUGAAAUUCGUAGAUAUUCGCAGGAACACCAGUGGCGAAGGCGGCUCACUGGUCCGGUUCUGACGCUGAGGCGCGAAGGCGUGGGGAGCAAACAGG
rnacentral:rRNA from 1 species